CAGCCUGUGGCCAAUCGCAACGCCGGAAGGAGCUGAUAGACACGGAGGUUGCUCUGCUCGGAAGAGACCGAGCCCCAGGGCCGCCGUGCCCUCUGGGCGGUUGUGAGGCUGUGCAGCCUGCGGCUUCUGCCCUCUUUCUUUCCCUGACUGGUUGGGUCCGGCCUCCGAGGCCUGUACCCCGCCUUUUCCGCAUAGGCAUGUGACCAGGGUCUCCCGCGGAGUUUUGCUGAGAAUUUUGGAAAUGAAGCAUGUGGAGCGCCUAUGUCGGGGGAGAGAGGCCGAGCUGAAGGAGCACGGGCGCCGGCCUCGGCCUCUGGGGAGCCGGGCCCGCUCGCCUCCCUGCGCGGGGCUAGCCCGAGCCUGGAACUCGGGAGGCCCAGGAGCGAAGUGAAAGCCCCUUCUGGUCCCCCAGGGCUCCACUCCCGCAGCAGCCCGGCUCCGUCGGCGUCAGUGGAGCCCCAGGCCUGGGUCCGAGAUGAGCGAGACGCUGCUCUGGCUCGCGGUCGCCCGAGCGCUCCCAAAACCAGGGAACAGGCCCCAGGAGAGAAGCCCCUAGAAGUUUCCUGGAGCAGGGAGUCUCCUGUAUCCUGUUAGCUCUGCAAAGGAAUCUGGACUUUAUUCUGAGGGCCUUGGAGAACCCCUGCAAAGUUUUUUAAAAGGUGGACUAAGAGAUUGGCAUUUCACAACAUGACUCUCCGAAUUGAAACACUAAGAAGAUUGGCGAAA
rnacentral:lncRNA from 10 species